GGCUCCAGCGGGGCAGAAGGCUUGGCUGACAGCAAACUCAGCACUCCUUUGAAGAAUCACAGACUACAUGUUCCUGUCCACACAAGUUCUGGCUGCCAGAGGUGGAGCUUGAGUGCAGACUGUGAUUUACUUCUAACAAGAAUGUGGCAGAAGUGACACUAUUUGACUUCCAAGACUAAAAGACACUGUGGCUUCCUCACUCUCUCUUGGAUUGCUCACUGGAGUAAGCCAGCUGCCGUGUCACGAGGACACCCAAGCAGACCUAUGUAGAGGUACAUGCAGGAUGAGUCUUCCUGCCAACAACCAGUGAGAGACUGAGGACUUUUGCCAGCACCACGAGUGAGCCUUCUUGGAAGCAGAUGCUCCAGCUCCAGUCAAACCUUCAGAUGACUGCAGCCCUGGCCAACAGUUUGACUGCAACUUUAG
rnacentral:lncRNA from 1 species